rnacentral:tRNA from 1 species
GGUAGGGUGGUAGAGUCUGGCUUAAUACACCGGUCUUGAAAACCGGCGGCGGGUCAAACCGCCCGUGGGUUCAAAUCCCACCCCUACCGCCA